rnacentral:rRNA from 1 species
AGCAGCCGCGGUAAUUCCAGCUCCAAUAGCGUAUAUUAAAGUUGUUGCAGUUAAAAAGCUCGUAGUUGAAUUUUGGGUCUGGCCGGGCGGUCCGUCCUCUGGAUGAGUACUGUUCCGACGUCGGGCCUAUCCUUCUGGUGAGUCGGCAUGCCCUUUAUUGGGUGCGUCGGGGAACCAGGACCAUUACCUUGAAAAAAUUAGAGUGUUCAAAGCAGGCUUUUGCUCGAAUACAUUAGCAUGGAAUAAUGAAAUAGGACGCGUGGUGCUAUUUUGUUGGUUUCUAGAACCGCCGUAAUGAUUAAUAGGGAUAGUUGGGGGCAUUAGUAUUCAAUUGUCAGAGGUGAAAUUCUUGGAUUUAUUGAAGACUAACUUCUGCGAAAGCAUUUGCCAAGGAUGUUUUCAUUAAUCAAGAACGAAAGUUAGGGGAUCGAAGACGAUCAGAUACCGUCGUAGUCUUAACCAUAAACUAUGCCGACUAGGAAUCGGGCGAUGUUAUUCUCACGACUCG